AAAAAAUUAUGUUUUGUUUAGUUCGAGCUGUUGUUGUCGCUUACGUUUAAAUUAAUUAUGUUUAAAUUAUUCGUGUACAUUUUAGUUUGUUUGUUUAUAUUGUUGAUUUUACAGGAAACACAAUGUUUUCCCGAUCCGAAACCGCAAAUAUUCAUAGUAGAUGGAUAUGACGCCGACGAUUUGACGCUGUCCAGGUUCAAGAUAAAUGACACAGAUGUCAUGACAGACAUCAUGAAACAUUAAAUUUGCAUCGUAGGGUACACUUUGAUUGGUGGCAAAAUAAAUUCUGGUAGUUUUUGUUGCUAAAUACUUGUUUUUAUUUAAACAAUCUUAAAUUACAAAAAUUUGCCUUGCUUCACGACAUAGCUUCUAGGAGAGAGAAAAAAAAUUGUGACGUGCAAAAAGGCGGUAUUUUCCUUAAUGUCAUAUAAGAAACGUCAAAAUAAACUUUGCUUUAGUUACCGUUAAAAAUAAUUAUUACAUUGUACUCUUGUUUGUUAAUUUGUGUUUUAUUUUAAAAAAUAAAUCUUAACUAACUUACUUAACUAAAAAUUCAAGUUCUCAAAAUGACUAUGUUAUUAAUAGAAAAGUUUAAACAUACUAUAUAUAAUAUGCUUAAAUUUAUCUAAAGUAUGUUUUACGAUACGCACGAACGGGUGAACCAAACGCACGAGAAUAUAGAGUGGUCCCAUUCUAAGGCGGUAACCACACCAAAUCAUAACAUUAUUAUGACAUUAUCUUUAAAAUAACUAAUAACUAUUCUAUUUCAGCCAUUUUACAUUUAUAA